rnacentral:rRNA from 1 species
UGGCGGACGGGUGAGUAACGCGUGGGUAACCUGCCUUACACAGGGGGAUAACACCUGGAAACAGGUGCUAAUACCGCAUAAGCGCACAGGGCCGCAUGGCCCGGUGUGAAAAACUCCGGUGGUGUAAGAUGGACCUGCGUCUGAUUAGCUUGUUGGCGGGGUAGGGGCCCACCAAGGCGACGAUCAGUAGCCGGCCUGAGAGGGUGGACGGCCACAUUGGGACUGAGACACGGCCCAAACUCCUACGGGAGGCAGCAG